rnacentral:rRNA from 1 species
GAUCAUGGCUCAGGACGAACGCUGGCGGCGUGCUUAAUACAUGCAAGUCGAACGAAGCUGCAUAUAGGAAGCCUUCGGGUGGAAUAGAUGUAGACUUAGUGGCGGACGGGUGAGUAACGCGUGAGCAACCUGCCCAUAAGAGGGGGACAACAGUUGGAAACGACUGCUAAUACCGCAUAAGACCACGCUAUCGCAUGAUAGAGGGGUCAAAGAAAUAUCGCUU